GAUGAACGCUGGCGGCGUGCCUAAUACAUGCAAGUCGAGCGAACGGACGAGAAGCUUGCUUCUCUGAUGUUAGCGGCGGACGGGUGAGUAACACGUGGAUAACCUACCUAUAAGACUGGGAUAACUUCGGGAAACCGGAGCUAAUACCGGAUAAUAUUUUGAACCGCAUGGUUCAAAAGUGAAAGACGGUCUUGCUGUCACUUAUAGAUGGAUCCGCGCUGCAUUAGCUAGUUGGUAAGGUAACGGCUUACCAAGGCAACGAUGCAUAGCCGACCUGAGAGGGUGAUCGGCCACACUGGAACUGAGACACGGUCCAGACUCCUACGGGAGGCAGCAGUAGGGAGUCUUCCGCAAUGGGCGAAAGCCUGACGGAGCAACGCCGCGUGAGUGAUGAAGGUCUUCGGAUCGUAAACCUCUGUUAUUAGGGAAGAACAUAUGUGUAAGUAACUGUGCACAUCUUGACGGUACCUAAUCAGAAAGCCACGGCUAACUACGUG
rnacentral:rRNA from 1 species